rnacentral:tmRNA from 1 species
AGGCUUUGUUAAUUGAUAAAAUUUCCGUAUAGUAUGAAUGCUGACUUGUCAGCUAUAGUGAUAAACGGAUCGUGGAAUAAGCGUAGUGGACCCGGGGGCGGUACCCGGCGCCUCCACCAACAGGAAAAUUGAAUUGCGAAUGAGGGGGCGAAAUAGGAUCGACACGCGUUGUAAAGACGUUACUUUCACUCGGCAUGGUACCACCGUUAUCGGGCUAUUAGAGUAGUUGCAAAUGACAACUAUGCGGAGGCACGCCUCGCUGCGUAAGCGGUCAGGUAGCCUUACUUAAGUCCAUAGGGUUCGCACCGUAUGGCGGGGUUCGGGGUGCACCUGGCAACAGAAGCACCUCAUA